CCCUUAGAUGUUCUGGGCCGCACGCGUGCUACACUGAGUGGAUCAGCGGGUCAGGUUGCGCGAAAGUGUUUCCUAAUCUUUAAAUCCGCUCGUGAUGGGGAUUGACGGUUGCAAUUUUCCGUCAUGAACGAGGAAUACCUUGUAAGCGCGGGUCAUCAUCCCGCGCUGAAUACGUCCCUGCCCUUUGUACACACCGCCCGUCGCUCCUACCGAUUGAGUGGUCCGGUGAGGCUUUGGGAUCUGGGCGGAAAGAGCGUUUCGCUGUUUCUGCCCGGAAAACUCAGUCGAACCUUAUCAUUUAGAGGAAGGAUAAGUCGUAACA
rnacentral:rRNA from 1 species